UACGUAGGGUGCAAGCGUUGUCCGGAAUUAUUGGGCGUAAAGCGCUCGCAGGUGGUUCGAUGCGUCGUGCGUGAAAGACCCCGGCUCAACUGGGGAGGGUCGUGCGAUACGGUCGAACUGGAGGCCAGUAGGGGGAUGCGGAACUCCUGGUGUAGCGGUGGAAUGCGCAGAUAUCAGGAAGAACACCAACGGCGAAGGCAGCUCGCUGGGACGGUACUGACGCUGAGACGCGAAAGCGUGGGGAGCGAACAGG
rnacentral:rRNA from 1 species